rnacentral:rRNA from 1 species
UACGGGGGGAGCAAGCGUUGUUCGGAUUUACUGGGCGUAAAGGGCGCGUAGGCGGCCACCGCAAGUCGACUGUGAAAUCUCCGGGACUUAACCCGGAAAGGUCAGCCGAUACUGCGGGCUAGAGUGCAGAAGGGGCACUGGAAUUCUCGGUGUAGCGGUGAAAUGCGUAGAUAUCGAGAGGAACACCUGCGGCGAAGGCGGGUUGCUGGGCUGACACUGACGCUGAGGCGCGAAAGCUAGGGGAGCGAACGGG